CUAUUACACCAUCUAGGGUAUAUUUUUGACCCCUAUCCUUCACUCUCUCUCUCUCGCCCUAGAUUUUUUGACCCCCAUCCUUCACUCUCUCUCAUCAUCUAGGGCACUCUGAUUCGUGUAAUCAGAGUGCCCUAACCGCCGCUGCCCUAACAGCCUUCUACCGGCGGACAGUUGGACGGAUCGGAGAACUACCGCCAGUCUCUCCGUCACCGACUACGGCGCCGUAGGAGACGGCCUCCAAUACCACACCCGCCACAUCCAUGACGCCAUCAACGCCUGUUAUGCGGCCGCCGAAAUAUCAACUACCACCAUCUUCAAGCUGGCGGCGACUACAAAUGUUGAGAUUUUUCUUUUUAUGAAGAUUUUGAAGGGGAUUUUGAAGGGGAGAGAGAGGAGAGAGAAAGGGUGUUGGAUGAAGAUUUUGAAGGGGAGAGAGGAGAGAGAAAGAGGGAAAAAAAAAUUACAUAUUGGUUGGUCGGUGUUGGUGGUGGUGGUUCAUGCCAACUGUUUUUUCUUAUCAAAUUCAUAUCAGUACAACUAUCUCUCCCUAUCUAUUGCCGGCAUUCACAUCUUUUUCCUAUAAUACAACCAUCUCUCUCUCUUGUAUUUUGCUUCAGUUAUUCUUUUCCUCCUUCCAUAGGUGUUUGAAACAAACACGAGUGUCAACAAUAACAUUAGGCUCCUCACCUCUUUGAAUCAUCACUUCAACUAUUUCUACUGCUUCUGCAAUCUUCCCUUCCUCACAAAGUGCAUCCACCAAUAUAGUGAAUGUUCUUACAUUCAGUUUGAUUUUUCGGUUCACCAUUUCAUUCAAUAGUCUUUUAGCCUCUUUCCACUGGUUUGAAUUGUGUAGGCGGGAGUUGUAAUUCCCUCCCCGAGAGAGGAAAGGCUUGUUGGUCUACCAACUGUUAGUGUUCAAGAUAUGGAUAUGGGUGUUCAAGAUAUGGGAGAAAUGUUAAUGAUUGUAUCUGAAAGAACAGAGGUGAUGAUGGUGGUGGUGCCAUAGAUAAGAAUGUGUUGAUAGAUUCUAGAUUGGAGGGAUGUUUAUACUUGCAACUUAUUAGCCUAUGCAAUUCAAACCAGUGCAAAGAGGCUACAAGAAUAUUGAAUGAAAUGGCACACCGAAAAAUCAAACCUUCACUAUAUUGGUGGAUGCACUUUGAAAUGAAGGGAAGGUUGCAGAAGCAAUAGAAAUAGUUGAAGUGAUUAUUCAAAGAGGCGAGCAGCCUAAUUCACCAAUUGAUGGAUGUUAAGAGCUAUAACGGAUAUAUUGUGAGAAGAGAAGAGUGGCGGAGGCUCCCAAGGCUUUUUUUCAAGAAAUUUCCGAUGGGAUUGGUUCCUAAUACUGUUACUUACUCUGGGUGGUUUCUCCCAUGAGGGAAAACCUCUCCUCUUAUCUUAUCAGAGUCUACUUUGAGUAUACUUUCUUUUCAUGUGUUUUUCCAUAUGUGAUAUGGGUAAGAGCAGAGAAAGAGAAGGUGGUGUCAUGUUGAUAUGUGUAAGAGCAGAAAAAGAAAAGGAGAAGGUGUCAUGUUGUGAUGUCAAGCGUGAACCAUCUUUUGUCCAAUUAAUAAAUGUAGCUGUUGGUUGUUUUUA